GCAAACUUGGUCAUUUAGAGGAAGUAAAAGUCGUAACAAGGUUUCCGUAGGUGAACCUGCGGAAGGAUCAUUAUCGAUUCAACAAGAAAUGUUGAGAGGGAGGAGAUCUUCCUGCCGAGGCUUUAAAACAUGCGCGUGAAUUCGUGCGGCCGAUAUGGUGGCAGAGGCACUGGGCGAGCACUCGCUGUCUCUUUGGAAGGUGCUUAUGCACCUUCGGCUUGACGAUACCCGCUCCAUUUUUUACACACACACCUGUGCACCUGUUGUAGGUCCCGCAAGGGAUCUAUGUCUUUCUCAUAUACCCCAUUGUAUGUUUAUAGAAUGUAUCUUUGUUGCUUCUCGUCAGAGAACAAUAAUAAAACCUUUAUAACUUUCAGCAACGGAUCUCUUGGCUCUCGCAUCGAUGAAGAACGCAGC
rnacentral:misc_RNA from 1 species